UGGUUCCAUGGUCUAGUUGGUUAUGACGCCUGCCUGUCACGCAGGAGAUCACCGGUUCGAGUCCGGUUGGGACCGU
rnacentral:tRNA from 1 species